rnacentral:rRNA from 1 species
UACGAAGGGUGCUAGCGUUGCUCGGAAUUACUGGGCGUAAAGGGCGCGUAGGCGGCCUUCUAAGUCAGACGUGAAAUCUCCCGGCUUAACCUGGGAACUGCGUCUGAUACUGGAGGGCUUGAGUAUGGGAGAGGGAGGUAGAAUUCCAGGUGUAGCGGUGAAAUGCGUAGAUAUCUGGAGGAAUACCGGUGGCGAAGGCGGCAUCCUGGACCAUUACUGACGCUGAGGCGCGAAAGCUAGGGGAGCAAACGGG